rnacentral:rRNA from 1 species
AGGGUUUGAUUCUGGCUCAGGACGAACGCUGGCGGCGUGCUUAACACAUGCAAGUCGAACGGAGCUUAUAGGAAGCUUGCUUCUUGUAAACUUAGUGGCGAACGGGUGAGUAACGCGUAACCAACCUGCCCUUCAGAGGGGGAUAACAACGGGAAACCGUUGCUAAUACCGCGUACGAAUGAACUUCGGCAUCGGAGCUCAUUGAAAGGUGGCCUCUAUUUAUAAGCUAUCGCUGAAGGAGGGGGUUGCGUCUGAUUAGCUAGUUGGAGGGGUAACGGCCCACCAAGGCAAUGAUCAGUAGCCGGUCUGAGAGGAUGAACGGCCACAUUGGGACUGAGACACGGCCCAA